GUUCCUAUUCAACUGUCUACAGCAUUCAUAUGCUUGAGAGGAUUCAUAUGCUUCUCCGGUUCGGUGGUUGUGGUGUCUGCUGCAGUGCUUGGAGUCCUCAGGAAGCGCUAGGAGCAUCCUUUAACGGAGGUACCCAGUCGGGGUGCCAGGCGAUCCGUUACAUUGGUGGCAGCGGUGGGAUGGCGUCCUAGUGCGAGGUAAAGCAGCUCAGAGACACAGUUCGU